rnacentral:rRNA from 1 species
GACGAACGCUGGCGGCGUGCCUAAUACAUGCAAGUUGAGCGCUGAAGGUUGGUACUUGUACCAACUGGAUGAGCAGCGAACGGGUGAGUAACGCGUGGGGAAUCUGCCUUUGAGCGGGGGACAACAUUUGGAAACGAAUGCUAAUACCGCAUAAAAACUUUAAACACAAGUUUUAAGUUUGAAAGAUGCAAUUGCAUCACUCAAAGAUGAUCCCGCGUUGUAUUAGCUAGUUGGUGAGGUAAAGGCUCACCAAGGCGAUGAUACAUAGCCGACCUGAGAGGGUGAUCGGCCACAUUGGGACUGAGACACGGCCCAAACUCCUACGGGAGGCAGCAGUAGGGAAUCUUCGGCAAUAGACGAAAGUCUGACCGAGCAACGCCGCGUGAGUGAAGAAGGUUUUCGGAUCGUAAAACUCUGUUGGUAGAGAAGAACGUUGGUGAGGGUGGAAAGCUCAUCAAGUGACGGUAACUACCCAGAAAGGGACGGCUAACUACGUG